AUGGGAUCCCAUUGGACAAAAACAAAUUUAAGUAGGCUAGCCCUAUCAAUCCAUUGGGAGCCCAGCUCACCCACCAGCCCUUGCUCCUCGGGGCAUCAUCGCAAGGGAGCCAGCCAUGAGGAGAUGCCAUCGAACGAGUUGAGCGCAAGAUACUGCUGCAGGGCUGCAGGCCGGCAUCCUGCCAACGGCCGCACCCACACUUCAACCGUGCACGCGGGGAUGACCGCCGCAGCCGCCGCCUGCAGCUGGGCGACGAGGCACGAUUUCUCCUCAUGUUCCCCGGUAGUCAGAGCUCACCGUCCCCCGCGCUGGUCUACUCCAUCGGACCUGAACCUGACGCGCCCCGCGCCAUCGCACCAGACGAGGUCAUCUCUUGUCGCACACCCGCGUUGUGUAUUUGCUAAUUAA
rnacentral:rRNA from 1 species